UAUUACAAUGAUGGUGAGUUCUGACUCCAUG
rnacentral:piRNA from 1 species